UCUGUGGUUUUGGUUUUCUGUUGUAAUGGAAAGUUUUGCACUUCUUUAUGUCCAACUUGCAGUUGCAUUGUGUGGAAGGACAAACUGAAAUCUCCUUUAAAGGGUGUGCAUUGAACUCUAAAAAUAACCCAGAGAGAAACCUGGCUUUGAACUUUUUUUAGACGUGUUGCUGUGUAAGAAAAUGAUAUUUCAAAAGAUGUUCUCUUGGAAGAGCAUAAGUGGUUUGCUUUGGUCAGAAUUGUGAAGAAUUUGCCUUGAGAAGGAAGGCUCCGCAUGGCCUCUAGAUGUCCCUCCUCCUCCUCGCACAGCCCCAGCAGCAGGCAGGGCAAGAAACCCAGCUCCACCUCAUCCCACUCCUUCAAGGAAUAGACCCCGGCCGUGUCUGACCAAAGCAGGUACCAGAAACUGCUGACUGGACAGGGUGAGGUGAAGCAAUCCCCAAGCAUUAUCCUCUCCUGCUUUGCUCAGAUGAGGUGAGAUGGGUUCCUCAGCAGACAACAGGGACAGGUGCAUCUUCUGCUGGAAGUGAUGGUGUGCCUCUGUCAUCUCAGCCUUCCCUGCAAGGGAGGGAGCACAGAGCAGGCUCCUGCCUUCCCCAGGGAGUGCUGAGCUGGGGGUGCUGGCCACAGGCUGGUCUCUGCCCGUGCAUGGAGCCCACGGGCCAGCUUGGAGAGCACCUGGAGAAGUGUUCAGGCACCUGCAGGCAAAGUACCCCUGCUCAGAGGGUGGGUGGCUCUGGAGGAGUUUCUGGGAGAACACAGAGGGUUUAACAUACUAUGCAAUUAAAUUCUGAGAAGACUGUUGCAUCCUUUUGGUUUCUGCUUUCCAUCCUAACAGGUAAAGAACUGGGCAUCCCACAAAGAAGGGAGUGGUAGGGUGUCCUGAGGUGUCCACAGGUCAGUCUGUGGGUACCCCAGUCUCUGGACUUUUAGCUUUAAGGGGCAGAUGCUGCUGUUUUUGAAGUGCAUCAGGACACAUGUUCAUUGUCACACGAUCCCUGGGAAAUGCAGUGACAGCCCAGUCCCAUCAAGGGACAAACAAACAUCCAUGUCUCAAACCUGCCAAAACUUGUGCUGCCUGUUUGGAGCCAGGAUUUAUUUAUUUAGGGACAGUGUCAAACACAGGUGUAGCUGUGCAGUAUCAGGCCAGACUUGUCCUUAAACAGAGCACCUGUGUGUGUCUCUAGAGAUGUGUUUGUUUUUGGGGGUGCUGUCCAGAGGCCAUCCCUGAGGACAGCCAGUACAGACUAACUCCAGGAACACACAGGUCAGCUCAGCUGAUAAAAUGCAGUGCAGAAAGGUCUCUCACCUCUUUCCUGCCCCCAGAUGGGCUCAGUCACACCCAGCUACAUCCUCUGCCAGGUCUGGGCAGAACUCCUGCCCUUUCACCCAUGAGGUGAAGGGUUCCUUCUGCCAUGAUCCCUGCUAGUGCAACACCCAGGUUUGGAACUUUUUAAGGAGGCCAAAGGGGUUGAUUGGUGCGUUUCCUUCUUGUUUCAGUCAAUUCAUUCCUGUCCUUGACUUUGCACUCCACACAGAUAAGCACAGAUCUGUGUAUGCACACGUUAGUUAGGAAGAAACAAGUGCCCAGCUGAUAUUCCUCCCCACCACCCUGAAAAAGUCAAAAAAAGGAUCAAUUUUAUAGAUAUAUCUUCAUAUAUAUAGAUAUAUAUAUGACAGAUAAAAAUAUAUGUAUGGAAUUGCUGGAAACAGUUAAUUUUGUAUCGUUUUGAUGAAAAUCAAAUUGUUCAAAAUUAAUAGAAAAGCUUUAUAGGAGAAACACUGUUCACCAUUAAAAUCUUUCAGGUGUGUGUUGUUUGAGUUGGAAAGAAAAGGUUUUCAGGAUCUUGAAUUAUCUCACCACAGAUUUUUUGGAUAAACCCCUCUUGGAGGCUUUCUAAGUGCAAUUGUGGUUUGGGAGAAGGCUGAGACCUGGAUGAGCCAUAAAAAUCUGCAUCCCCUUCCAUGCUGGAAGUGAUGCUUCCAGCCCCAGCCUGUGAGACCACUGAGAUCCUUGUGCCAUGCUGGCUGCCCUGUCUCAUUUCUGGGGUGGAGGAUCUCUAGGGUUUGUUCCCUUUGGAGUUUUUAUCUAGCAGUAAUCUCCCCUUGAAAGAGAUGUGCUAGUUGCAAACAAAGGCUGGGAUUUUUCACAGCAGCCUUGGAAGACUGAGAAUCUCAUUGGUUAUUCAAACUAGUUGGAAGGGAGCAUCCAGAUCUGCUAGGCAGCUUGGUAAAUCUUGGUCAAAUAGCACAAAAAAUUAAUUUUCCUGGCCUUAUGUCUAUGUCCAAGCAGCUGGUGUGCACACACAGCUCUCUGAUCAGUUUGUCUCACUUUGGUUUUGCACGUCACCUUUUUAUUUUUAUUUUUUUUUCUCUCCACAUUUUGUCCUUUCUCUUGUAAUGUAAUUUCAGUAUGGUAAACCCUGUUCUUUCAAACAGCAGUGCUCUUCCUGUGUGUUUGGAGAGUGCCUAAAUCACUUGAAAGAUGAGUAUAAAGUGCUAAUAAACCCAAUAUACUCUAGCUUCAAGCACCAGUGUUAUUAGUGAGUGAUUGAUUAAUUUUCCCAGAGCAGUUUUGCAGGACACCUCCUCAAAGAUCACAGUUAGAGUAUAAACGAUCACUGCUCACUUGAGGAUUGUUGCUGAGGAAGAGUUUUCUUGCCAAAUAGCCCAAAUACUGCUCUGAACAAUCCCUUCUCCUCAGACCCACUCAGCAUCCAGUCAGUUCCACCAGGUAUGGAGUUCUGGGUGGAUGCUGCCCAGUUCAGUGCCUUUAAGGCAUCCCAGUGAGGUUACUAGAGGCCACUUCUGUGCAAUUUAUUUUUGCUGCCUUUUUUACAGUGUUAUCAACUAUAAAAACUGACAGACUCAAGGAGAGAAGUGUGCACAUGGCUGUGAUGUGGGAACGUUUUUCCCAGAGGAAUUCUGGUUUAUCACCCAAGCCUGUAAAUAUGUAUUUACCAUUUUAAAAGCACGUCUUUAUGUCCCUGACUGUAAAUGCUCUGUUUUUAAAGUUUUAUAACAUGGGACUCAACCAAGAGACCACAGCACACAGCUUUAUAUGGUACUGGUCUGUUUGAAGGGUCCAUUACAGUCUAAGCUGUAGCAGAAAAAUGUCCAUGUCACCAACAAGAAAUAACCCAUGGUUGCACCAGACUUCAUCA